rnacentral:rRNA from 1 species
CCUACGGGCGGCAGCAGUGAGGAAUAUUGGUCAAUGGGCGAGAGCCUGAACCAGCCAAGCCGCGUGAGUGAAGACGGCCCUAUGGGUUGUAAACCUCUUUUGUCGGGGAGCAAAACCCGGGACGUGUCCCGCCCUGCGUGUAUCCGAAGAAAAAGCAUCGGCUAACUCCGUGCCAGCAGCCGCGGUAAUACGGAGGAUGCGAGCGUUAUCCGGAUUUAUUGGGUUUAAAGGGUGCGUAGGGGGUACGGUAAGUCAGCGGUAAAAUUGAGGGGCUAAACCCCGUCGAGCCGUUGAAUCUGGGAGACUUGAGUGGGGGAGAAGUGAGCGGAAUGCGAGGUGUAGCGGUGAAAUGCAUAGAUAUCGCGCAGAACUCCGAUUGCGAAGGCAGCGUACCGGCGCCCAACUGACGCUGAGGCACGAAAGCGUGGGGAUCGAACAGGAUUAGAUACCCUGGUAGUC